ensembl:snRNA U1 U1 spliceosomal RNA
UUACUUACCUGGCAGGUGGGAUGCCACGAUCAAGAAAAUGGUUCACCCAGCAUGAGAUGCAUUUGUUGCUCAUCCUGCUGUGCUGACCCCUGUGAAUUCCCCAAAUGUUGAACUCUUGACUGUAUAAUUUCUGCUAGUGGUGGACUGUUGUUAGUGUUCUCCUCAU